ACCUGGGUGGCUUAGAUGGUUAAGCAUCUGCCUUCAGCUCAGGUCAUGAUCCUGGGGUCGUGGGAUCAAGUCCCACGUCGGGCU
rfam:Ailuropoda melanoleuca scaffold308_81, whole genome shotgun sequence.